CUAUUUUUGAUUCCAGGGUCUUGGACAACAUAUCAGACACUAUUGUUGCAGUUAGUACAGUUAAUGGAUCUCAUUGCUUGGAUAUACUCUUUGCAAAGGAAAGUGAUCCAGAGUGGUUGGUCAUGCAGCGAAAGGUUGAGGUUAGGAUCGUCGAACAAUGGAUCAGCGAGUACUAUGCUGAUCUUCUCGCCUACAAGAAAUAAAUUGAAGUCACACCAAAGAUGAAAGAAGCAAUAAAUGUUGUGCAGAUCAAAACCUUCAUAUGUGUGCAUGCGUCUAUGUAUUGCAAUAAAACAUUAUGUAAUCCGUUCCAUAAUUUUUUUUUUUUUUAGACAAAAAAAA